UACGAAGGGGGCUAGCGUUGCUCGGAAUCACUGGGCGUAAAGCGCGCGUAGGCGGGUCCUUAAGUCAGGGGUGAAAUCCCGGAGCUCAACUCCGGAACUGCCUUUGAUACUGGGGAUCUUGAGUCCGGAAGAGGUGAGUGGAACUCCGAGUGUAGAGGUGAAAUUCGUAGAUAUUCGGAAGAACACCAGUGGCGAAGGCGGCUCACUGGUCCGGUACUGACGCUGAGGUGCGAAAGCGUGGGGAGCAAACAGG
rnacentral:rRNA from 1 species